AUGUUCAAAAAAUGUAUCAAGGUAGCAGUGGGUCAUACCUGAUAUAUAAAGGCAAUUUCCAUUUCUUGCAAUGGAAGCAUUUAUUAUCGUUUUUAAAACGAGAUCUGUAUCUUUGACUUAAUUGCUAAACCUGACAUUUCAUUUUUUUAAAAUGCACUCCCGCUACCCUUGUGAGGAUAAGCGGCUUGGAAAAUGGCCCGGACUAAAGGUUUGAUGAUGGUGACCGUUUGACCCCAGAACAAAUUAUUUAUACAGUCGUUAAUAUCUGCUGUGAAGAAAACGGAUCAAAAACCAACGUUCUGGAAAGGUACCUUGUGUUCGCAGCGUCUGUGGUGAUUGUGCUCCCCCGUACAAGAAGAAACCGGUAGAGGGUGGUACGGUUCCUCAGUUUGCGGCUCCGGUUGCUGGGAUCCGGAACGCUGCCCGCCUGAAGGAAGCCCCCUCUGGCCCUGCUGGUAGAGCGGCACCCACAGGGUCUGCGUUUGGGGUCCGCUGCGAUGGAGGUAGCGCGACCCGAGGCCAAUGUGACUCAUCAAAGACUUUGAUGUCGCCACAAAAUGAGUACCUGCUUCCACCAGAUGGGGUACGCUCGCCCUCAUGACCACUGCCAUCCCGAUGGACAGAAACCGAAGGCCUCAAGGCUGAGAUGACAUGGCC